UGCAGAAGAAACAAACGCAGAAAGAAAACAGAAAAGAAGCUUGCGAGUGGAAAGCAGAAAAGAAAAGAGAGAAUUUGAAUGAAAAACAACCUGAAAUUUUUCAUUAACUUGAGAAUAAGGCCUUAAGCCAUUACAUAUACCAGCUAACUUGUAAAACAAACAAGUUAUCACCUAAUCAACUACCGAACACCACUAAUAUGCAUUGAAACUUACAAGAUUAGCUUGCAUAAUAGCUUUACUGAUUUUUAGUCAAUCAACAUCAAAACAUCUACCUACUAAGUUCAAAAUGAAGUAGAUUACAAAAGGAUUAAGGAACAACUAAAUGUGGCAACUAGAUCAGAACUUUGAGCUUCAGCUGCUGCACACCAUGGCUCGACUGCAUGCUGACUUUCCUCUUGCAUGGCCACCUUUGUUGAUCAGCACCUGGCAUGGGAACUAACCUCAACAGAGGUGCUUAAAUGCAUCCAAAUUGGGUUAUUGUGCGUGCAAUCAGAUCCGGCAGACAGACCGACUAUGUCAACAGUGGUUGCAAUGUUAGGAAGCGACACCAUAACAGUUCCUCUACCAGCGAAACCUGCAUUUUAUGUUGGACGUUUUAUUGCAGAAUCAGUUCAACCCAAUUCAAGUGAUAAAAUAUGUUCUGUUAAUGAAGUUACGAUUUCAAACAUGUCACCUCGGUGAUUGAUUAGUCAUUCCAUCUUCAAGUUUUUCACUAUUACAAGAUAUGAUAGAUUCUAAAAAUUUUGUUAAGCCGCUCUUUUAGCUAAAUGUUCUGCAACAUUCCAGCAAAACACAGGGAGAUGUUCU
rnacentral:lncRNA from 1 species